AGAGGACGCCGUGCGUUCGCUUUGCAAGUCCACAGAGAGACACAGAGAGAGAGGAGAGACACUUUGUAGCCGUAACACUUCGCUCUUUUACGCUAUUCCCCUCUCGUCGGAUGCGCUCGAACCGCCCGGCAGUGAAUUAAACGAGAAAAUCCGAGGCAGGGAUUGAGAAUUACUGGAGGACACUGACUGUGGUGGAGUGGAGUUAGCCUGAUGUGCAAGAAAAUGUCGGCGACCUCAAGCCUAAAGUUUGUACUAACUCACAAUGAAGACAAACCGGACAGAAUGAGGAGCAACAAUCGGCCUGCAGAUGGAAACAAGGGUGGGUGGUUGGAAGGCUGAAUAAAGGCUGGUAGAUGACUGAACUCAGAGACCCGGCGCAGCUCAUCAUCAUUGCCAUGGGCUCUCAUCUUCUUCCUCUUCCUCCUGUGGCUCGUACCUCCAUCCAGGGGUCCAGCAGAGCCAGCGAAGCCCAGGCGGGGAGCUAGUGAGUGGGCUGGGAAGGAUGGAGAAGGUCCCCAAAGGCUAGAAUCACCUCUGGAGCUACCGGCAUGCAGGAGAAAUCAAUAUGAAACACAGAACCUUCACAGCUCUGAGUGGGGUUUCCUGUGUUUUAAGUGUGUGGCCUAGGGGCCCGCAGACCUCCAAAGGACAGGCCCUGCGUGGCUCUCUCAGCUGCAGCCCCGGCUCCUCAGACUGGACCUCAGUCCGGAUCUCCACUGGCUGUGUGUGUGGUUCUGCUGAAGGGGAUUUCUCCCCAAAUAAUACCCAAUACCCAGAAUGUUGAAAGACUGCCAAGAGGGAUCCUCCUUUUCUCUUGAUUUUUUUUUUCCAUCAUUAGAUUGACAUACCCCCCCACCUUCUGCCUCCGGCUGUUUAAAAACCAGUUUGGGAGUUCUGCUUUUGACUCACUCUCCAUCCUCAGCUCACCCGUUGUUUAUUCCCCAACUAGUUUUUA